rnacentral:rRNA from 1 species
UGGGGAAUAUUGGACAAUGGGCGAAAGCCUGAUCCAGCCAUGCCGCGUGUGUGAAGAAGGUCUUCGGAUUGUAAAGCACUUUAAGUUGGGAGGAAGGGCAGUAAGCGAAUACCUUGCUGUUUUGACGUUACCGACAGAAUAAGCACCGGCUAACUCUGUGCCAGCAGCCGCGGUAAUACAGAGGGUGCAAGCGUUAAUCGGAAUUACUGGGCGUAAAGCGCGCGUAGGUGGUUCGUUAAGUUGAAUGUGAAAGCCCCGGGCUCAACCUGGGAACUGCAUCCAAAACUGGUUAGCUAGAGUGUGGGGGAGGAUGGUAGAAUUCCAGGUGUAGCGGUGAAAUGCGUAGAGAUCUGGAGGAAUACCGAUGGCGAAGGCAGCCAUCUGGCCUAACACUGACGCUGAGGUAAGAAAGCAUGGGGAGCAAACAGG